CGCGUAGGCGGUUCUUCAAGUCGGAUGUAAAAUCUCCCAGCUUAACUGGGAGGGACCAUUCGAUACUGCUGAACUAGAGGACAGCAGAGGAAGGUGGAAUUCCCGGUGGAGUGGUGAUAUGCGUAGAUAUCGGGAGGAACACCAGUGGCGAAGGCGGCCUUCUGGGCUGCACCUGACGCUGAGGCGCGAAAGCGUGGGGAGCGAACA
rnacentral:rRNA from 1 species